rnacentral:rRNA from 1 species
CCCUAUGGGGUACUUUUCCUGGUCCUCCGAUCCCUGAACAAUAGCCCUUGCAUCAGCAUCUACUUUGAAGCUCACCAUCAUAUCACGGGAAGUGGUUGGAUUUUCUCGGAUAUAAAGGUGGCAUAGGCCCAGGCGAUGGCUCAGGGCAACAGGCAUGUAUAAUAGCCGGAAUAUGGCCAGAAUUAAUGGCCCCGGAGGCGAAAGCCUGAUAUCUUAUGCGACAGUACCUUCCCACUGAUGGUUGAAGUAGGAUAUUUAAAUAUUGAUAGUCCCAUUGCUGUUAUUUCUUCCAAUAACCGUCCGGAGACUGACAAGGCAGUCGGUUUGAUCUUGCUGGAUGGCUUCGACCUUGAUGUCGUCUCUCCUUCUCAGAUCCAAUCCCGUCUGAGCGACGUAAAGCAGAGGCGCAGGGAAUGGCGGGAGGGC